GACGAACGCUGGCGGCGUGCCUAAUACAUGCAAGUAGGACGCAGUUGCGAACGGGUGAGUAACGCGUAGGUAACUGCCUAUUAGAGGGGGAUAACUAUUGGAAACGAUAGCUAAUACCGCAUACUAGUAGAUGGACCUGCGUUGUAUUAGCUAGUAGGUUGGGUAAUGGCCUACCUAGGCGACGUUACAUAGCCGGCCUGGGAGGGGGAUCGGCCACCCUGGGACUGGGACACGGCCCAGACUCCUUCGGGCAGGAGCAGGGGGGGAUCUUCGGCAAUGGGGGGAACCCUGGCCGGGCAACGCCGCGUGAGUGAAGAAGGUUUUCGGAUCGGAAAGCUCUGUUGUUAAGGAAGCGGUACUUAACCAGAAAGGGACGGCUAACUACGUGCCAGCCGCCGCGGUAAUAC
rnacentral:rRNA from 1 species